rnacentral:rRNA from 1 species
UACGUAGGGUGCGAGCGUUGUCCGGAAUUACUGGGCGUAAAGAGCUCGUAGGUGGUUUGUCGCGUUGUUCGUGAAAUCCGGCAGCUUAACUGUUGGUGUGCGGGCGAUACGGGCAGACUGGAGUGCUGUAGGGGAGACUGGAAUUCCUGGUGUAGCGGUGGAAUGCGCAGAUAUCAGGAGGAACACCGGUGGCGAAGGCGGGUCUCUGGGCAGUAACUGACGCUGAGGAGCGAAAGCGUGGGGAGCAAACGGG